UACAACUUCGGCUUUCAUUGCAAAAUAUUUACCGUGGUGGUGAAGCCAAGUUUCUCUCUCACCUCCAACAUAAGCUUUCGGUCACUGUUACCUUUCAGAUGGAAACUAGGUACCAACCGAAACUGCGUGAGGUGAAGAUCCAGUCUCCAGUCUCCAGCCAAGGUGAGGUUUGAGGACUGGUUGAUCAGCCCUUUCCAGCCCCUGGUCUAAGAUCUUGCAAAGACCUCCGUGAGGAAAUGUGACCAGGGCGAACUGGAAUUGUAGACUGUGUAGAGAAGCAAAACGAAAACACAUCUCCUCAGCGAGCAAAGACAAGAUUUUCCCAGCCUUGCGCCAAGUGCGAUUUCUCUGCGGUGUGCUUGGAACUGCGACGCGGCUGCCUUUCAUCUACAAUCCAUUCCCCGAGUCGAUGGCGCAGGACCUGGCAGAAGGGGAAGAUGAGAAGGGGAAAGGAUUUCAAGAUGCUUCUGAGUAAAAAAACACUCAUUUGAGGAGAGCUGCUAAACACUUCAGUGACUUUCCAACUGCUUCCUGGGGGAAGGUGUGGAAAACCUAAUGUAUGAGCAUUGGAACACACGUGGGCAUCCCACUGGGCCACUUCAUCCUGGUGAGGGUGUGUGGUCAUGAAAAGAAUGGGUGCUCAGAUAAAGAAUAUCUGAAACAUCUGGAAAAAAAAAAAUGAAAAAAGCCUGUUUAAAAAGUCCUUUGUCCAUCUUGUCUCUUGCUAACUGUUGACUACAUAAAGAAAUAAGAGAUGAGGGGAAAAAAAUCAACACAAGCCACUCAAGUCUGGGAGAACUGGAAUGUGGAGCUUUUUGGCACAAGCUGAGCAGGAGAAGUUUCCAGAAGAAACAAUAUGAGUGAGAGUAUUAUUGCAAAAGGCCACAGUGUCAAGUCUGUGCUGUGAGUUAAAAGGAGCCCAUAAAAUCUACUCAUGAGAAGUGGAGCCAGAACAAGGUCUGGAGUUAACUCCUUAAAGUCUUCAAAACAGUUGAUAACCAUCAGGAGUGACUUCCUUUCUGUGAGGUGCAGAGUCUGGGCAAAGUCCCCUCUUAGCCAUCACCCAGAAAGCUAUAAGAAGAAAAAAGCAGAUCAAGCAAGCUGAUGAGUGUUUUAUGCAAUGCAAUAAAUCCUUUUUCCAGAUCAGCUUUUUAAUUUAAACUUCAAUUUCAUAUCUAUUUUUAAUGUUUCUUUCAAAAAUAAAGAAUCAUAACAAUAUAAUCCAGUUAUAUUGUAACAAUACAAUCCACACACAUCUCAUUCUACCAUCAUUGUUAACAAAAAUUAUUGCACUCCAGUAGCUGCACGAAGCCAAACCCUACCAUGGACUUUCAAACUGAUAACAAAGUAGGAAAAAAUAAAUUCCAAUAGCUUUAUAAAUUUUUUUUUUCCAUUCAAACACUUUGCAAACACUGAGCAGUGAAUGCCUAUGUUACACAUCAAUUUCUCCUCCUCUCUAUAAAUUUAAUGAGUCCUUAAAGAUAUUUGAAGACUUACUAGUCUAAAGAAGUAAAGUAGAAAGAGAAAUUUCAGACCAUUGUCUAAAUAAUAUAUGAAAGUGGCUGCAAGACUAGUGUGUGUCAUGUUUGUCACUUUCAUGGCGGACAGGACAUGUGAUAAUGGUUUAGAUCACAACCAAGAAGAUUUAUAUUACAUGUUUUCAAAGACUUUUUAUUUACAAGGAACAGAAAACAUGGAUUUGGAGUCUAAAGGCAAUGUGAGAUCUCUGGCAGUAGGAGGAUACGUGUCAUGGUGAUAACAAGGUAAAAUUGUCUGAGACCAUGUAGAAAGCUGAGACGGGAACUAAGAUCUUAGGCAGAUUCUCAUUCUCACAGUUCUCACCUUCUGCUUACCUUCCAGAGUGCCUUUUCUUUGCAGAGUGCCUCUGAUCAUGCAGACCAGGAGCAGCUGAUGAGUAGGCUACAGACCAGCCCUGGCCUGUCCACACUUCCCCUUCUGUUUCUGUGUUUUGGACAUCCCUGUUUGGAUCACUGGUGUUGACAGAUAUUUGGGGAACAAGAAGAAAGAAUAUGGCAAAAUUUGGAAAAGAUUUUGGGUGCUUCCCCCAAAUGGCAGGUGCUCAGCAUCUUUUGAAAAUCAAUUUACUUAAUGCUGACACCUAAACCAGAAAGUAAUAGUAAAUGAAAUUAAUCUUACUGUUACUUUUGCCUCAUAACAACAGAAAUAGCUGGUGUUUAACACACACAAGAAUAAAUAUCAUAUCUCCAUCUCAUAGGGGCAGAGCUUAAAGGGGCAAUCAAACUGAAAUGCAUUGGAAAGGCAGAAAGAAGUGUAACACAGAAGCAAAGGCAAACUAAUGAAAGUCAGAAUGAAUUUAUGAGGCACCUUAGUGAAACAAGUGGUUAUGCUGAAGAUGAACCAAUGGCAUUUACUCUUUUAAGUCUGCAUGUAGUACGGAACUCACAUGAUUCGAAAGGUAAUAAAUUUCAUGGCAAAUGGUCAUGAUUAUAUUUGCACAGAGAAAGCCUUUGCCCAAAGCAAGUGGGUGUGGUUAGUGAAAGAUUCAAUUAGGCUAUUUAAUGCUAGUUGCACAACUGUUUUGUUCAAAGACUCGUACUAUGUUCUGUCAAAGGUUACACCCCUGAAAUGGUGACAAAAAUGAAUUGAAUUUGAGCAGCUUUUCUCUGCCCAACAGAUGGAUCUUGUUCUUUUAGAGUGAUAUCAUACAGAAAAUUAUAAGCAAAUGAAGUCCAAUUCCAUAUGCAUUGUGACAGAAUAUAUAUAAUAAAUGUACUUUUUACUUUAUCACCCAGAAAAUGCUCAGACAAUACAGUCUCAAAACUUGACAUGGAACCACUGAGCAGCGAUCAGAAGUUAUUAGCAUUUAUUAGUGGUCCUGCAGGAACACCUGUGCCUAGAUGCAGCUCAGAAACCCCACCUCACUGUUAGGCAAACACGAAGCAAUACUCCACCCCGGUGUCAACAGGAAUUUACAGUCUUGGCAUACCAAGCAGCCUUUGCAACAAAGCUGCGCAGCUCAGCCGCUGUCCAGGGCAGUGCUUGAACCCAGGGCCUGCAGCACCGUGGAGAGCUCCACACCCUACAGAGCAGCCCUGCCUCUGCCGGCCCGGAGGAUCACUCAUCCUGGUGGGAGAUGACUGCAAGUUAGGUAGAUGUCUGAAAGCCUCGUUCUGUCUGGGCAUGACCAGCCACAGAUUUUCUGUGACAGCACAGGCAGGUCGGACAUGGCCAUGCUGACUCUCAGCACAGCUCCACCUACACCAUCAAGGUUCUUUUCCAACCCAAUGCUCUUAGCAAAGGAAGAAGGGGAGUCCACAGUGACAGUCUGACCUCCCUUUCCUUGGAAGGCGAUUAACAGUAAUGAUGGAUAUGAUCAGAUGUAUUGGCUGUGAGUCCUCAUCAGUCCACAACUGAGAAGGGUCCUCCAUGCUCUGUGUGCACCCAGCAUUGCUAUUCACUUUCCUGAAGCAACACGGGUAUUAAAUACCUCCAGUUAUUUGGGUUGGUGCUUUGCUUUUAUUUCCUGCAUUUAUUAAUUAGUAGUAGUGCAUGAGGUCACUAUGCAACAAGACAGGAGCACCACCAAAUACAUUAAGAAAGUAAAAUAACACAAACAGCUUGAGUUACAGAAGUAAACUGUAAAAAAUAAAGCAACAAUACAAAUUGAACUAGCUUACCUUAAGCGAUGUUUUGAUGUACUGAAAGAAUGACUUCUAAUUCUUCUUGAAGGGUUGGAAAAGUCUAGAAAAUAAGUGGUAAAAAAAAAAAAAAAAAAAAAAGGUAACACAAUGCUGCUGCAAUUGUGCUUUCUAGAAGCUAUUCAGAUUCAUCUGCAAAUAGACAGAAUGAGGGAGCUGUUGCUUGGAGAGAUGCUGUGUUAGGGGCACAAGCAGCUUUGAUUCCUUGUGUUGUGCAUAGAAUAUAGUUUCUUGCAGCCAAGAUAUGAAUGAUUGCAAGUGUCUUUGUGAGCCAAAUACAUGCACAAGGAAAAUUACAAAAUAAACUUUGGUUUUACAUGGGGAAGAAAUGACCUUCUUCGUUUUAUUUUGUUUUCCACAGAUACAAUGCCAACUUUCUCCAAAAUGAGAAUUGAGGAUGAAGCAAAGUGGCAACAUGAGAUAUUACAGCAUAAUUUCAGAUCUGCUUCACAUUUCACUUACCAUCCUUGUUUUUCCUUGUGAAACUUGGGGCUGCAGGACCUUCCCUACCAUGAGUUAUACCUUCCUAUUGUUUUUUAACUGCAUGUACCCCUUUACCUUUACUCUUCUUUAGUCAGACGGCAGGCAAAGGAAAGCCUUCCACACAUGGAAUCAGUAUGGAUAAUUUAAUUCACACUAUAGGAAGUGUAACUGCAAAUAGAGACAAGUAAUUAUCUGUAGCCUAAAAACUCUGUAUCUAAGAAGAGGUUGAUUUCUGGUUCUGGAAGGAAAACAUUGAUGAUUAUGUGGGAAUUAGUGCCACAUUUUCUACCGAGUGAGUACGAUUAUUUUUAUGGAAAUAUUUUCAAGGCUGAAAUAUAGGAGCGUUUUGUGAAAUCAUUACUACUGUGAGAAGGACACGUCUCUGAGCUUCCUUUGAAAUGCCUCCUUAUUAUUUGUUAUGUGUGCAUGUUAAAAACAAACAAACAAAAACAGAAAUUGAGUUUUUUUUUAUUAUUAUUAUUAUUAUUAGAGGAUUUGCAACCGUGCACAAGAAGCAACCAACAAUGUGCCGAAGCCACACUGCUGCUUUCCGCUUCAGCCUACAGACAAUUUUGGGAUACAGAUUUGAAGGGCUGUUUCGGAGGUGGGAGAAGACACACGUCUCCCGUGUGCUGAGUGACCUCCACCCAGCGCGCCGACAGAUCCAAGGCAAACGCUUGUAUUUACGGCGAUGACUUUUAUCGUCUCCGGAGAGGAAAACUACCGGGAGAAAAACGACGGGCUGGGGAAGACCUCGAGCUCCGUGUCGUUUAUCGCCGUCUGCCGUCCGUGCUGCUGGAGGAAAAGCCAGAAAGAAAACCAGGCGGCCCAGUCCGGAGAACCCCAGCCCACCACCCGGCAGAGAUUACACACUGCGCCUGCACCCAAACCUUUCCCGUUCAUUCCUGGCCGGCUGCUGCCCUCAACCGCUUCUCCGAGGCUUUUUCAGGUCGUUUUGCCGGGGCCGCCGCUGCCCCCCGCCCGCCAGCCCUGGCUCGGUCGUCGGACGAAGCACGGGCCGGGGACUGCACCCAUGGGGCUCGGACACGAGCAUUAUUUCCUUUAUUAAUCGGUCAUAUGCGGCACCCCCGCACACUUCCCCUCCUCCGGCUCCUUCCACGGCCAAAGCUCCCCCGGCUUUGCCUUUCCUCUUCUCCGAACGCGGCCGCGGACAGCAGAGCGGAGGGGGGUGGCGGCGGGGGAGCCGCUUGCCAUCCUUUGGAAACCGAAAUACCGGGCAGAUUUACUGCAAAACGCUGCGGCGGCCUCUCCGGAAGGGACUUGAAUCUGAGAAUGUCGCUUAGCCAGAGGUUUUAGCCAAAAAAUGGUGCUCUUGUUCAGGCAGCGAUAAAUUUCCCCUCUGGCACGCAGCAAAUUGAACCGCGGCGGGGGGGAAAAGGGGGUCCGAUUCGUGAUGGGAAGGGCUCGCUUCUGAGGCCGGUUGUUUCUCGGCAGUUUUGUCCUUGCGGGUGGGACCCCGGCUCCCCCUGGAGCACACACACACACACCCCGGCAAAAGGGUUGCCCCGGUGCUGUCAACCCCCCCACUUCUGUCAAUCCCUGCACACGCGGGCUCUCUGACGGGGAAAGGAUCCUGAUUUAUACCCAAAGCAUUAUUGGAUUGAAUUACGCUUCCUGAGAGCACCACCGGCCUGGGAGGAAGCACGAGCCUUUGGAGCGGGUUUGGGAGAACUUGGCCCAGAUCCACCCCUCCCUUUGGGGCUCUUAUGGUAUACCUGAGGCCCUUCUGCUCUCAAUGGGUGAUGAAGGGCUUGAUGGUGAAGUGAGCAGCCAGUGUGAGAAGUGUCCCAGAGUGGUAGAGACUUACAGAAGUAUGAAGGGAGAGAACGGAGAACUGGUGUCCACAAAUUUCUUGAGAGAAUUUUGACAUCCGCUUAUUCUCCCACCUGCAUCUGACAUUGCAGCAAAGGGAAGGAAAAAAAAAAAAAAGAGAGAGAGAGAAAUAAGGAGGAAAAGGGGUAACUCCCUUUGGUUAUUCUGUGUUUCUCUAUUUUUCAACACCAAAUAGGGAGAUAAAAGGCAAAACAAAACGAAACAAAUGAACAAAGAGUUCUGGCUAAGCAGAGAUCUCUAAUUAGAUUCUCCCUCUUUUCAUGCAAAGCUGCUCUUGGAGGUGGACAGAUGCUUCAGUGGAGAACUGGAGCCCUGAAGAAUGUGACAGACCUGUACUUGCCACCUCUGUACUGCUCAGCACCAGCAAUGCAGCUCUGCUCAGAGCAAGGGCUGAAGGCAGCAAAGCAAGAAAUGCUCCUGCCCAAAUUUGUGUGGUAGAAGUAUAAAUAAACUGCUCUUUUCAUAGAAACUUUCUAGAAAUUCCACUUACUGAAUCGGUCUUGUUCUUCUCUGGGAUUUUGCUGAAGUCUGGGUUUGUUGUUCAGGUAUCACUGACCUUGCCAGGCAUGGCUGGCAUAUCCCCACUUUGACCUGGAGGAAAAAGAAGAGCCCUGUGUAAUUGGCCUUUUCUUCUUGAAAUCUGAGAGAGGAAGAUUUGAGAAAAAUGGAUUUUGGGAUUGCUUAAAGGUAACAAUUAAUGUUAAUUAAUUAAUUAAUUAAUUAAUAAAGAUUUAUAUUUUGGGAGUGUGCAGCCCUCUAAGGUGGAUGACAUUCAAGGCUCUUAGUGUCCUGGUUUGUUGUGCAGCCAUUCUCCAUGCUCCAGCCAGCAUAACUGAAAUGCUGCCUGUUCACACAGCAUCUUUUCAGACUUUUUUAUGAACUCUGCUGUCAGACAAACUGGAGGACCCUACAGGUUUGCCAAAGUUCAUUGU